UGCGUAGGCGGCCAUGUAAGUGAGGUGUGAAAUCCCUCGGCUCAACCGAGGAACUGCGCUUCAUACUGCAUGGCUUGAGGGAGACAGGGGUAAGCGGAACUGAUGGUGGAGCGGUGAAAUGCGUUGAUAUCAUCAGGAACACCGGUGGCGAAAGCGGCUUACUGGGUCUCUUCUGACGCUGAGGUACGAAAGCUAGGGUAGCGAACGGGAUUAGAUACCCCGGUAGUCCUAGCUGUAAACGAUGAGCACUUAUCUGGGGAUCCUCCCAUAGGUUCCCGGAUGUAGCGAAAGUGUUAAGUGCUCCGCCUGGGGAGUAUGGUCGCAAGGCUGAA
rnacentral:rRNA from 1 species